rnacentral:rRNA from 1 species
AAUCAAAUUAUUAAAGGAAUAAUUUUACAUUUAAAUCCUCCUUCAUAGUCUUAUUAAUAAGACUAAUCCGUAUAAAUAAAUUUAUUGUAACCCAUCUCUACUUACCCAUAAAUUGCACCUUGACCUGACAUAUAAUAUUUUGUAUUAAAAGAAUAUUAAAUCUGAAAAUAUAAUCUGAUGACGGAGGUAUACAAAAUGAAUACAAGAGUAAGUAAUUACCUAUCGUGGAUUAUCAAUUACAGGACAGGUUCCUCUAAAAAGAAUAAAAUACCGCCAAAUUCUUUGGGUUUCAAGAACAUAACUAUUACUACCCUAAUUAUAUAU